GGAAUGGAGUUGAUUCUGGUGGUUGAGGGGAUGACAGAGGACAAGUAGAAACCUAUGAAGAAGGGGAGGAAACUGUUCUAAAAAUGACCAUACUCUCAUCUAUUCGAUCAGAUGAUGGACUGUAUUAUUGCCGAGCUGAAAAUACAGGAGGAUAUGUAGAGAGAGUUGGACACAUCACUGUA